CAAUCCUCCUACCUCAGCCUCCCGAGUAGCUGGGACUAACAGAACUUUCUUUGCUGGCUGUUGAUCAAGGACUGCCCUCAGUUUCCUGCUGCAGAAGCCUCUUUGUAAAGCAGCUAUGGCAGGAAGAGUCACCCUCAGAGCCGGCGAGAGAGAGAGGGGUCCAGCCCACACCCAAGGGAAGGAGAUUCCGCAAGGGCAUGGAUACCAGGAGGGACGAAGAAGAGGGACAAAAAGGGAAAACGAUUUGCUGUCAUUGUAUCCACAAAGUGCACAUUUUCUUUGUACGGCUGAAAUGUCUGUGCGUCUGAGAGCUUGCAAGCUUGUCUGAAAUGGUCUAAUUGCCUGAUCUCAAUCCUGGCUGGGUGCCUUGCAUCUGGCUUUUCAUGGAUUUGAAUUGGGAGGGGCCGUUGGGGGAGACUCUCCUAACUCAGGGAUAUUUUUAGGAAAUCAAAGUUUGCUUUUCUGGGUCGAUUCUAUCCUCUGUCAUCGCCACCUCCCAAGCUGCCUCCGCGGCUCUUGUCACUUGCCAUUGUCCCUGGGCUCUGGUGGGAGGCCAGUCCUGUGCUGCUGAAUUGGAAUCAGGACCAGAACAGUCCUGACUGUCCCUAUGGGACCCAGGCCGGGGGUACCCCACCCAGCCCUGUGCCAGGGGCUUUGUGUAAGUCAGCAGUUCUCAAAGUGGGGC